rnacentral:rRNA from 1 species
CUACGGGAGGCUGCAGUCGAGAAUAUUUGACAAUGGGCGGAAGCCUGAUCAAGCGACGCCGCGUGCAGGAAGACGCUUUUCGGAGUGUAAACUGCUUUUCAUGGGGAUGAAGAUCGCCUUUUGGUGGUUUGACAGUACCCAUGGAAUAAGGAACGGCUAACUUCGUGCCAGCAGCAGCGGUAAUACGAAGGUUCCGAGCGUUAUCCGGAUUUAUUGGGCGUAAAGGGUGUGUAGGGGGCUAUGUGCGUCUGUUGUUAAAACUCACUGCUCAACGGUGAGGUCGCGAUGGAUACGGCAUAGCUAGAGGAUGCGAGAGGCUUGCGGAACGCACGGUGUAGGGGUGAAAUCCGUUGAUAUCGUGCGGAACACCAAAGGCGAAGGCAGCAAGCUGGCGCAUUUCUGACCCUGAGACACGAAAGCGUGGGGAGCAAAAAGGAUUAGAUACCCCCGUAGUC